CAGCAUUCUGUUUCUUGCCAUAUUUCCUUUCAUAUUUUUACAAUUACAGGCUAAUUUUUGUUGUAGCUUCAUUACUUUUGUGGUGUAGUGGGUUAAACCGCAGCCGUCUCCACCAGUGUGUCCUUGAGCAAGACACUUUACUCCAGGUUACUCCACGGGGAUCAUCCCUGUAAUAAGAGCACUAUGCUCUUGCUGGCUCUGGGCUCACUGAGAAAGAAGAGACCACAGCAACAUCCAGUCCAGAUGAGGCAGUAAGGGCAGGAGGAGUGAUGGAGGGUCUCAUCCAUGGCUCUACACCAUUCCCAGGACCUGCUGUGGCUCUCCAUCCUCAGUGCUCACACCAGUCUGAGGACAUUUCACAUCCUACAAAAGUGCACAAACAUCAUACAAAAGCAGUCAUUUUAACAGCAUAAUGUCAUCUGAAUUCUGUAUUAGAAGUAACAAAAUGAUCUUACUUUAUAUUUUUGUUCCAGGUUUUCCCUUUUUUUCCCCACAAAUGCUGCCGUCACCUUGUCUUGCAGGUCCUGCUCCACAAAAGCUCUGCAGCAAAUGUACAGACAUCAAGAAUCAGAAAAGUGCUGUAAUAACUCUGUUUGAAAUUACAAUAAUUAAAAUAAACUACAACUUAA